CCCACUGAAAUGCUAAUGUUCAUUUGUGUAUUCUUUGCCUAGCACGUAGAGAGAGUUCAAACAGUGGUUUUAAAAUAAGCCACCAAAGUUAUCCAAUGCAGGGGAUCAAGCCAAUGAAAGGUAACAGAGGAAGGAUGCUACGGGCGCUCAGAAAAGGCAACGAAGGCCAGAGUCUGCAGGGAUUUCCUGGAGGACGUGGAGCUUGUCCCUAGGUCUUUAACAACUGGCAGAAUGUUAAUCCACUGGAGAAGCAUUUCAAGUAGGGGGAAAUGGGAUGAGCAGAGACAGAGGCAAAAGUACAGAGUUGAAAGAACUCUUUCAACGUGUCGCGAGUGAGCGACGACUUUCUGGGUGUGGGAGUAAAAGAAUUUACCAAGACAGUAGUAGAUAAAAAAAGACAGAUUAAAGAAAGUAUGAAAGAUCGUUGCCAGGGAACAGCGCGCAGAAUCAGCAGAGGAGGAGCUCAUUGCUAGGAAACAAAGGCUUGUUGAGAAUUUUAUAGACUGGAACUUGGAGUGAUUGAUAACACCAAGUUAGCAGGGAGUUAACUUGCUUUUUUUUCCUUUUUUUUUUUUUUUUUUUUUUUUGUCAACCGAAGUGUUUGAUAAAUAGAGGCGUUUGAAGAGAGAAAGCCUGUCUGCACAGUGAGAGAAUGAAACCAAUACAUUGAAAAAAACAGAGAAGAGAAAGAGGUAGAGACUUCAUCUGAUACAAGCACGCCUGAAACAAGAGAUACCUGUAUGAUUCCAUCUUCCCAACUAGCAGGCAGUUCUUGUUGAGUUCAAGCAAGUUGAGACCAUCAACCCUUCAACCUAGCCUGCGUGGGUGCGUAAAGCGUGACCUUUUGAUGUCAAAGGGCCAAAACCUGCACCCUCCUUCCAUGCUAAUUCAACCAUUUUCUGAACAUGCAUCCUACGAAGAGCCAUGUAGCUCAAUUACACUUGCGCAGAAACCUUGAUUACCUCCCUUUCCCACCUGCCAAUCACCUUUACCCAUACUUCACACCAUCCUGCUUUCUAUCCCCAUAAUUACCCCAAGCCCUGUUUUCAGGGAGGUGGAUUUACAAUUUGUUCUCCUUCUCCUUGCUCAGCAGCCUUGUGAGCAAUCUCACAAAAUAAAAUCUUUUCUCUUUUGCAAAA